rnacentral:rRNA from 1 species
GAUGAACGCUGGCGGCGUGCUUAACACAUGCAAGUCGAACGAAGCACUUUAUUUGAUUUCCUUCGGGACUGAUUAUUUUGUGACUGAGUGGCGGACGGGUGAGUAACGCGUGGGUAACCUGCCUUGUACAGGGGGAUAACAGUUGGAAACGGCUGCUAAUACCGCAUAAGCGCACAGCAUCGCAUGAUGCAGUGUGAAAACCUCCGGUGGUAUAAGAUGGACCCGCGUUGGAUUAGCUAGUUGGGGUGGUAGCCGGCCACCAAGGGGACGAGCCCUAGCCCGACCGAGAGGGUGGCCCGCCACACUGGGACUGAGCAACGGCCCAAACUCCUACGGGAGGCAGCAGUGGGGGAUAUUGCAACAUGGGCGAAAGCCUGAUGCAGCGACGCCCGGUGAGCGAAGAAGUAUUUCGGGAUGUAAAGCGCUAUCAGCAGGGAAGAUAAUGACGGUACCUGACUAAGAAGCACCGGCUAAAUACGUG